rnacentral:piRNA from 2 species
UGAUAAAUGCCAUUUCUUGGUUAAAUUUA